AUGAACGCUGGCGGCGUGCCUCAUACAUGCAAGUCGAGCGAACAGACGAGGAGCUUGCUCCUCUGACGUUAGCGGCGGACGGGUGAGUAACACGUGGAUAACCUACCUAUAAGACUGGGAUAACUUCGGGAAACCGGAGCUAAUACCGGAUAAUAUAUUGAACCGCAUGGUUCAAUAGUGAAAGACGGUUUUGCUGUCACUUAUAGAUGGAUCCGCGCCGCAUUAGCUAGUUGGUAAGGUAACGGCUUACCAAGGCAACGAUGCGUAGCCGACCUGAGAGGGUGAUCGGCCACACUGGAACUGAGACACGGUCCAGACUCCUACGGGAGGCAGCAGUAGGGAAUCUUCCGCAAUGGGCGAAGGCUUGACGGAGCAACGCCGCGUGAGUGAUGAAGGUCUUCGGAUCGUAAAACUCUGUUAUUAGGGAAGAACAAAUGUGUAAGUAACUAUGCACGUCUUGACGGUACCUAAUCAGAAAGCCACGGCUAACUACGUG
rnacentral:rRNA from 1 species